rnacentral:rRNA from 1 species
UGUCGUCAGCUCGUGUCGUGAGAUGUUGGUUAAGUCCGUACGAGCGCAACCCUUGUCCUUAGUUACCAGCACGUUAUGGUGGGCGACUCUAAGGAGACUGCCGGUGACAACCGGAGGAAGGUGGGGAUGACGUCAAGUCAUCAUGGCCCUUACGGCCUGGGCUACACACGUGCUACAAUGGUCGGUACAAAGGGUUGCCAAGCCGCGAGGUGGAGCUAAUCCCAUAAAACCGAUCGUAGUCCGGAUCGCAGUCUGCAACUCGACUGCGUGAAGUCGGAAUCGCUAGUAAUCGUGAAUCAGAAUGUCACGGUGAAUACGUUCCCGGGCCUU